ACUGAAACUACUACAUGCAAGCAAGCAUGCAUGGAGAAAGAAAAGAACGAAGAGAAAGAAAGACUCAACUUUGAAGGAUAGGAGAAACUCCAUAAUGAAGACAAAUUCUCAACUCCAUGAGAAAAGAGUAAAACUUUAAUUGAUGUGUUAAGA
rnacentral:lncRNA from 10 species